AUUUAAAUAGUUUAAUUAAAAUUUUAAUUUGUGGGAUUAAAGAUAUAAAGUUAUUAUUUUAAAUA
rnacentral:tRNA from 1 species